AACGAACGCUGGCGGCAUGCCUAACACAUGCAAGUCGAACGAGACCUUCGGGUCUAGUGGCGCACGGGUGCGUAACGCGUGGGAACCUGCCCUUAGGUUCGGAAUAACUCCCCGAAAGGUGUGCUAAUACCGGAGAAUGUCUUCGGACCAAGGAUUUAUCGCCUUUGGAUGGGCCCGCGUUGGAUUAGCUAGUUGGUAGGGUAAAAGCCUACCAAGGCGACGAUCCAUAGCUGGUAUGAGAGGAUGAUCAUCCACACUGGGACUGAGACACGGCCCAGACUCCUAGGGGAGGGAGCAGUGGGGAAUAUUGGACACUGGGCGAAAGCCUGACCCAGCAAUGCCGCGUGAGUGAUGAAGGCCUUAGGGUUGUAAAGCUCUUUUACCCGGGAUGAUAAUGACAGUACCGGGAGAAUAAGCACCGGCUAACUCCGUG
rnacentral:rRNA from 1 species